GAUUAAGUUAUUAAGGGCGCACGGUGGAUGCCUUGGCACUAGAAGCCGAUGAAGGACGUUACUAACGACGAUAUGCUUUGGGGAGCUGUAAGUAAGCUUUGAUCCAGAGAUUUCCGAAUGGGGAAACCCAGCAUGAGUUAUGUCAUGUUAUCGAUAUGUGAAUACAUAGCAUAUCAGAAGGCACACCCGGAGAACUGAAACAUCUUAGUACCCGGAGGAAGAGAAAGAAAAUUCGAUUCCCUUAGUAGCGGCGAGCGAAACGGGAAGAGCCCAAACCAACAAGCUUGCUUGUUGGGGUUGUAGGACACUCUAUACGGAGUUACAAAGGACGACAUUAGACGAAUCAUCUGGAAAGAUGAAUCAAAGAAGGUAAUAAUCCUGUAGUCGAAAAUGUUGUCUCUCUUGAGUGGAUCCUGAGUACGACGGAGCACGUGAAAUUCCGUCGGAAUCUGGGAGGACCAUCUCCUAAGGCUAAAUACUCUCUAGUGACCGAUAGUGAACCAGUACCGUGAGGGAAAGGUGAAAAGCACCCCGGGAGGGGAGUGAAAUAGAACCUGAAACCGUGUGCUUACAAGUAGUCAGAGCCCGUUAAUGGGUGAUGGCGUGCCUUUUGUAGAAUGAACCGGCGAGUUACGAUUUGAUGCAAGGUUAAGCAGUAAAUGUGGAGCCGUAGCGAAAGCGAGUCUGAAUAGGGCGUUUAGUAUUUGGUCGUAGACCCGAAACCAGGUGAUCUACCCUUGGUCAGGUUGAAGUUCAGGUAACACUGAAUGGAGGACCGAACCGACUUACGUUGAAAAGUGAGCGGAUGAACUGAGGGUAGCGGAGAAAUUCCAAUCGAACCUGGAGAUAGCUGGUUCUCUCCGAAAUAGCUUUAGGGCUAGCCUCAAGUGAUGAUUAUUGGAGGUAGAGCACUGUUUGGACGAGGGGCCCCUCUCGGGUUACCGAAUUCAGACAAACUCCGAAUGCCAAUUAAUUUAACUUGGGAGUCAGAACAUGGGUGAUAAGGUCCGUGUUCGAAAGGGAAACAGCCCAGACCACCAGCUAAGGUCCCAAAAUAUAUGUUAAGUGGAAAAGGAUGUGGCGUUGCCCAGACAACUAGGAUGUUGGCUUAGAAGCAGCCAUCAUUUAAAGAGUGCGUAAUAGCUCACUAGUCGAGUGACACUGCGCCGAAAAUGUACCGGGGCUAAACAUAUUACCGAAGCUGUGGAUUGUCCUUUGGACAAUGGUAGGAGAGCGUUCUAAGGGCGUUGAAGCAUGAUCGUAAGGACAUGUGGAGCGCUUAGAAGUGAGAAUGCCGGUGUGAGUAGCGAAAGACGGGUGAGAAUCCCGUCCACCGAUUGACUAAGGUUUCCAGAGGAAGGCUCGUCCGCUCUGGGUUAGUCGGGUCCUAAGCUGAGGCCGACAGGCGUAGGCGAUGGAUAACAGGUUGAUAUUCCUGUACCACCUAUAAUCGUUUUAAUCGAUGGGGGGACGCAGUAGGAUAGGCGAAGCGUGCGAUUGGAUUGCACGUCUAAGCAGUAAGGCUGAGUAUUAGGCAAAUCCGGUACUCGUUAAGGCUGAGCUGUGAUGGGGAGAAGACAUUGUGUCUUCGAGUCGUUGAUUUCACACUGCCGAGAAAAGCCUCUAGAUAGAAAAUAGGUGCCCGUACCGCAAACCGACACAGGUAGUCAAGAUGAGAAUUCUAAGGUGAGCGAGCGAACUCUCGUUAAGGAACUCGGCAAAAUGACCCCGUAACUUCGGGAGAAGGGGUGCUCUUUAGGGUUAACGCCCAGAAGAGCCGCAGUGAAUAGGCCCAAGCGACUGUUUAUCAAAAACACAGGUCUCUGCUAAACCGUAAGGUGAUGUAUAGGGGCUGACGCCUGCCCGGUGCUGGAAGGUUAAGAGGAGUGGUUAGCUUCUGCGAAGCUACGAAUCGAAGCCCCAGUAAACGGCGGCCGUAACUAUAACGGUCCUAAGGUAGCGAAAUUCCUUGUCGGGUAAGUUCCGACCCGCACGAAAGGCGUAACGAUUUGGGCACUGUCUCAACGAGAGACUCGGUGAAAUCAUAGUACCUGUGAAGAUGCAGGUUACCCGCGACAGGACGGAAAGACCCCGUGGAGCUUUACUGUAGCCUGAUAUUGAAAUUCGGCACAGCUUGUACAGGAUAGGUAGGAGCCUUUGAAACGUGAGCGCUAGCUUACGUGGAGGCGCUGGUGGGAUACUACCCUAGCUGUGUUGGCUUUCUAACCCGCACCACUUAUCGUGGUGGGAGACAGUGUCAGGCGGGCAGUUUGACUGGGGCGGUCGCCUCCUAAAAGGUAACGGAGGCGCUCAAAGGUUCCCUCAGAAUGGUUGGAAAUCAUUCAUAGAGUGUAAAGGCAUAAGGGAGCUUGACUGCGAGACCUACAAGUCGAGCAGGGUCGAAAGACGGACUUAGUGAUCCGGUGGUUCCGCAUGGAAGGGCCAUCGCUCAACGGAUAAAAGCUACCCCGGGGAUAACAGGCUUAUCUCCCCCAAGAGUUCACAUCGACGGGGAGGUUUGGCACCUCGAUGUCGGCUCAUCGCAUCCUGGGGCUGUAGUCGGUCCCAAGGGUUGGGCUGUUCGCCCAUUAAAGCGGUACGCGAGCUGGGUUCAGAACGUCGUGAGACAGUUCGGUCCCUAUCCGUCGUGGGCGUAGGAAAUUUGAGAGGAGCUGUCCUUAGUACGAGAGGACCGGGAUGGACAUACCUCUGGUGUACCAGUUGUCGUGCCAACGGCAUAGCUGGGUAGCUAUGUAUGGACGGGAUAAGUGCUGAAAGCAUCUAAGCAUGAAGCCCCCUCAAGAUGAGAUUUCCCAACUUCGGUUAUAAGAUCCCUCAAAGAUGAUGAGGUUAAUAGGUUCGAGGUGGAAGCAUGGUGACAUGUGGAGCUGACGAAUACUAAUCGAUCGAAGACUUAAUCAA
rnacentral:rRNA from 1 species